UUGUGAGACAUGAAGAGGAAGAAGACCUAAGAGCAGUGGGCAUGGGAACGUGAUGGAAGGCUAAAGCCCUCGUUCCUCAUCGGAGUCUUUGGUUUGAGUUUUUGUGAUGCCUCAUAUGCCUAUUGUUCUUUGGUACUCCUUCCUCUUCCUUUUGGGU
rnacentral:pre_miRNA from 1 species